rnacentral:rRNA from 1 species
CCCCAGUAGCGGCGAGCGAACGGGGAGCAGCCCAGGACCUGAAUCAGCUUGUGCAUCAGUGGAAGCGUCUGGAAAGUCGCGCGAUACCGGGUGACAGCCCCGUACACGAAGAUGCAUGAGCUGUGAGUCCGACGAGUAGGGCGGGACACGUGGUAUCCUGUCUGAACAUGGGGGGACCAUCCUCCAAGGCUAAAUACUCCUGACUGACCGAUAGUGAACCAGUACCGUGAGGGAAAGGCGAAAAGAACCCCGGCGAGGGGAGUGAAACAGAACCUGAAACCGUG